GAAAACGUGUUCCCAUCUCCCUCGAGGAAAACGUGUUCUCAUUUUCCUCGUGGACUCGCACGGGUGGGGUUUAAAGUUUGAGCGGGAUCUCUUCGAUCAAACCCUGCUGUGCGAAAGGAAGACCGGCCUACUUCAUUUCACAGUUCACACUCAUGUAGCUCGGUAACACAACCUAACGACGUGAUGAGAAUCCUCCAAUUUGUGUUAAAUAUGAAGAUCGCAGUGGAUGGGUGCGUGCAUGGAGAUCUCUUAUGUAUUUGGAGAAAGUAGAGAACACGAAGAUCAACCUUCUCAUAUGUUGUGAUUUUUUCAGAUCGUCUAUGCAGUUGUGUUUUUAAUGAAAUGCGUUUGAUGAAUUUUUUGGCUUCUGUCAAGCUUAACCUCAAAAAAGGGGCCUUUUAUGGUGACAAAAUUUCAGUGUCUACACUAUUGCGUAUGGUCUUGACGAAGGCUGCUUCCGCGGGUGUGAAGAAUGUGCUUAUCUUUGAUCUUGGUGAUGGGACUUUUGAUGUGCCCCUGCUCACCAUUGAAAUGGGUGUUGCCUAACAGUAUAUGCAGAACCUUUAUUGAAGUUUUUGCCUUCUGUCAUGAGUGCUUGUUGGGUAGAUUUCAAAAAGCCUUCAUCAUAGUAAGAAUCCCCAUCCUCCAGUGUGCUGGAUUCCCUGAAUCGAUGCUUGUUCUCUGUCAAAUUUGAAUGCCCUUCCCUGCUGCUGGUUCUUUGAACUCAGGUUGAAGACAACCUCAUUGUCUUCUCCUCUCCAUCGAUUUAUUUCCACGAAAAAGGGAAGGAGAACAUGGAACAUUGACUAAAGGUGGAUUCGCCUUCAACACCUUUGAGGUCUUUGGUCCAUGCCUAAUUGCAAGAGUUCAUCCUUUUAACAACUAUUCCCAAUAUUCCCCGCUCUUUUAUCUUUUAUUAUGUUUACACCUUAUUUCCAAACUUACCUCUGCUUAUAUGAUCCUAUUAUUACCUAUGAUAGUGCCUUUAAGAUUUAGUCCCAUUUAUGCCCCUCCUCUCAAAGUUGCCCCCCCUAAUAUUCCCUUUCAUCCAAGUCCACUUCUUUCUUAUUAGAUUUUGGCCUUCCACAUAAUCACAACACUGCACUAAGUUCUUGAUUUGAGUCUUCUCUUGCUUGGGUGGGUCCAUAAGUGGCUACGAUUACAAAUUUUCCAUUGGUCUUGUAUAUUUGCAAUUUUAUUGCUUUGGUGGGCCCUUUCUCACAUCAAUUUGGGGUUGCACUUUUGUAGAAUGGUACUUGCAUGUGGUGUUGGUAUAUUGUUUUGUUCUCUACUACUAUUUAUUAUGGGAGUUGUAGUUAUUUUGUGAUGCUGGUUAUUGCUACCAUAUGAUGGGUUGUCCUUUAUUGCAUCAUUUGCAUUAUUUGUCCAUGUCUAGUGCUACACGUGAGGGGGAGAUUGGAGAUUCUUAUCUGAGAUAUUUGAAGAUUCAUUAUUAUCUAAUUCUGCCAUCAGCAUAGUGUCAUCUACUUAUUUGAAGAUUAUUAUUAUUUGUUUGUGUCAUUUUCUCCUGUCCUCAACAACAAUUUUAUCUUAUAAAAAGAUGGUUACUUGUUUGCAGAGACCUUAUACUGUUA